rnacentral:lncRNA from 1 species
GGUGAGGUUGAUUUGAAGAAUGGUGGAUGGUCAACCUUGGGGGGGGGGAGUAGCGGCCCUUGGCUGAACCCUUCCUGAAUGCGAUCCAUCAAAUUAUGGUUGAGGGUUUGACUUGCACCAAGGGAGGUUAGAUGGCGUAUAUUGUCUAUUAGAUCUGGCUUUCCAAAAUAACCUAGUCUUUGUAGUUGAGGUUAUAUCUGUGCA